rnacentral:rRNA from 1 species
GACGAACGCUGGCGGCGUGCUUAACACAUGCAAGUCGAACGGAAAGGCCCUGCUUUUGUGGGGUGCUCGAGUGGCGAACGGGUGAGUAACACGUGAGUAACCUGCCCUUGACUUUGGGAUAACUUCAGGAAACUGGGGCUAAUACCGGAUAGGAGCUCCUGCUGCAUGGUGGGGGUUGGAAAGUUUCGGCGGUUGGGGAUGGACUCGCGGCUUAUCAGCUUGUUGGUGGGGUAGUGGCUUACCAAGGCUUUGACGGGUAGCCGGCCUGAGAGGGUGACCGGCCACAAUGGGACUGAGAUACGGCCCAGACUGCUACGGGAGGCAGCAGUGGGGAAUAUUGCACAAUGGGCGGAAGCCUGAUGCAGCAACGCCGCGUGCGGGAUGACGGCCUUCGAGUUGUAAACCGAUUUCGCCUGUGACGAAGCGUGAGUGACGGUAAUGGGUAAAGAAGCACCGGCUAACUACGUG